rnacentral:tRNA from 1 species
GGCGGUAUAGCUCAGUUGGUAGAGCACCUGACUUGUAAUCAGGGGGUCCCGAGUUCGACUCUUGGUGCCGGCACCA